rnacentral:rRNA from 1 species
AGAGUUUGAUCCUGGCUCAGGACGAACGCUGGCGGCGCGCCUAACACAUGCAAGUCGAACGAGCGAGAGAGAGCUUGCUUUCUCGAGCGAGUGGCGAACGGGUGAGUAACGCGUGAGGAACCUGCCUCAAAGAGGGGGACAACAGUUGGAAACGACUGCUAAUACCGCAUAAGCCCACGGGUCGGCAUCGACCAGAGGGAAAAGGAGCAAUCCGCUUUGAGAUGGCCUCGCGUCCGAUUAGCUAGUUGGUGAGGUAAUGGCCCACCAAGGCAACGAUCGGUAGCCGGACUGAGAGGUUGAACGGCCACAUUGGGACUGAGACACGGCCCAGACUCCUACGGGAGGCAGCAGUGGGGAAUAUUGCACAAUGGGGGAAACCCUGAUGCAGCGACGCCGCGUGGAGGAAGAAGGUCUUCGGAUUGUAAACUCCUGUUGUUGAGGAAGAUAAUGACGGUACUCAACAAGGAAGUGACGGCUAACUACGUGCCAGCAGCCGCGGUAAAACGUAGGUCACAAGCGUUGUCCGGAAUUACUGGGUGUAAAGGGAGCGCAGGCGGGAAGACAAGUUGGAAGUGAAAUCUAUGGGCUCAACCCAUAAACUGCUUUCAAAACUGUUUUUCUUGAGUAGUGCAGAGGUAGGCGGAAUUCCCGGUGUAGCGGUGGAAUGCGUAGAUAUCGGGAGGAACACCAGUGGCGAAGGCGGCCUACUGGGCACCAACUGACGCUGAGGCUCGAAAGUGUGGGUAGCAAACAGGAUUAGAUACCCUGGUAGUCCACACCGUAAACGAUGAUUACUAGGUGUUGGAGGAUUGACCCCUUCAGUGCCGCAGUUAACACAAUAAGUAAUCCACCUGGGGAGUACGACCGCAAGGUUGAAACUCAAAGGAAUUGACGGGGGCCCGCACAAGCAGUGGAGUAUGUGGUUUAAUUCGACGCAACGCGAAGAACCUUACCAAGUCUUGACAUCCUGCGACGAUGCUGGAAACAGUAUUUUCCUUCGGGACGCAGAGACAGGUGGUGCAUGGUUGUCGUCAGCUCGUGUCGUGAGAUGUUGGGUUAAGUCCCGCAACGAGCGCAACCCUUACUGUCAGUUACUACGCAAGAGGACUCUGGCAGGACUGCCGUUGACAAAACGGAGGAAGGUGGGGAUGACGUCAAAUCAUCAUGCCCUUUAUGACUUGGGCUACACACGUACUACAAUGGCGUUAAACAAAGAGAAGCAAGACCGCGAGGUGGAGCAAAACUCAGAAACAACGUCCCAGUUCGGACUGCAGGCUGCAACUCGCCUGCACGAAGUCGGAAUUGCUAGUAAUCGUGGAUCAGCAUGCCACGGUGAAUACGUUCCCGGGCCUUGACACACCGCCCGUCA